AAGUCGUAACAAGGUUUCCGUAGGUGAACCUGCGGAAGGAUCAUUAGUGAAAUGGCGGGGGUGCUGGGGACAGCUUGUGGUUUAUAAUCAGAGGCCGUCACCAACGCCCCCAACAACCACACCCAAUUUAUUGUGCAACAUGGCUCGAGCCGCGGGGAUUCGUCCUUUGGCUCUUGCCAACCCAAAACCAUAACUAUCUGAUAAACCAAAGAAAACUAAAACAAAAUACAACUUUUGACAACGGAUCUCUUGGUUCUC
rnacentral:misc_RNA from 1 species